GAGAGUUAAAUAGUACGUGAAAUUGUUGAAAGGGAAACGAUUGAAGUCAGUCAUGCUAGUGAAAAAUCAGUUUGACGGGUUUUGAGUUCAAGAGUAGAGGCAGGGUCAAACCGUUUCUCUUUUGGACUUGGGAUUUGUUAGAUGUACUUUUUCUUUGGCAGGUCAGCGUCGAUUUCGGAGGUUGUAAAAUACUUGGGGGAAAGUAACUCUGCUUCGGGAGAGUAUUAUAGACCCUGGGGGAUGCAGCCUGCGGGAUCGAGGAUUGCAGCAAAUGCCUUUGGCUUGUCGCCUGAUCUCUGGAUGUUACCUCGCUUGUGACAACAUUCUUGCCACCUGUGGGUACUAAUGCCCAUUAGGUUAGAGCGAUCAAAAAUUUUGCUAAGGAUGCUGACGUAAUGGCUUUAAACGA
rnacentral:rRNA from 1 species